UGAUCAGUCUGGCUUCUGGCUAUAUUCCAGGACUUAUCUGGUCCUCUGUUUAACCAAAGCCUGACCGUAUG
rfam:Mus musculus chromosome 7, GRC primary reference assembly.